ACGGCGCCCGCCAGUGCCAGCAGGUACUGCUGGGGUGUGGGAUCUGUGGGGUCACUGGGAUCUGUGGGAUAUGGAAUCAAUGGGAUCUGUGGGGUCUGUGGGAUCGGUGGGAUAUGGGAUCAAUGGGAUCUGUGGGAUCAGCGCGACGGCGCCCGCCAGUGCCAGCAGGUACAGGGUCUGUGGGAUCUGUGGGGUCUGUGGGAUCUGUGGGAUCUGUGGGAUCUGUGGGAUGUGUGGGAUAUGGGAUACGGGAUCAGUGCGACAGGACCUAGCAGUGCCAGCAGGUAUGGGGGCUGUGGGAUCUAUGGGGUCAGGAGAUCUCUGGGAUCUGUGGGGUCAAUGGGAUCUAUGGAAUCAGCACGACAGGACCCAGCAGUGCCAGCAGGUACUGCUGGGUUAUGGGAUCUGUGGGGUCACUGGGAUAUGGGAUCUAUGGGAUCUGUGGGAUCUAUGGGACACAGCAGUGCCAGCAGGUACGGGGUCUGUGGGGUCAGUGGGAUCAAUGGGAUCUAUGGGAUUGGCACAAUGGGACAUGGCUGUUCCCCUUCCCUAAUGGGGCCGUCCCUCACCAUUCCCAUUCCCUGACCUGCACCUUCCUGUUCCUUACUGGGACCAUUCCUGUUCCCAUUCUUCCUGUCCCCAUUCCCGUUUCCUCAGGCUCUGGAGGUGGAGCAGUAGCAGAACUUCCAGCAGCUGUUCCCAUUUUCCCAUUUUUCCACAUUUUUCUCCCCAUUUCCAGGCACUGGAGGUGGAGCAGUAGCAGAACUUCAUGCAGCUGCUCCGAUUUUCCCAGUUUUUUUCCCAUUUUUCCCUUUUUUUCCCCUUUUUUUCUCAUUUUUCCUGGUUUAUUUCACAUUUUUCCCAUUUUCCUGGUUUUUUACCCCAUUCAGGCUCUGGAGGUGGAGCGGCAGUGGAACCUGGCCCAGCUGUUCCCCUUUUUGUUCCCAUUUUUCCCAAUUUCCCAAUUUCCCGGGUUUUUUGCCCUGUUUUUCCCAAAUUCCCGUUUUUUUACCCCAUGCAGGCUCUGGAGGAGGAGCGGCAGCAGAACCUGGCGCAGCUGUUCCCAUUUUUCCCAAAUUCCCGGUUUUUUGCCCCAUUCAGGCUCUGGAAGCCGAGCGGCAGCAGAACCUGGCGCAGCUGUUCCCGUUUUUCCCAAAUUCCCGGUUUUUUGCCCCAUUCAGGCUCUGGAAGCCGAGCGGCAGCAGAACCUGGCGCAGCUGUCCGUUUUUCCAAAUCCCGGUUUUUUGCCCCAUUCAGGCUCUGGAAGCCGAGCGGCAGCAGAACCUGGCGCAGCUGCUGCGGCGGAGNNNNNNNNNNNNNNNNNNNNNNNNNNNNNNNNNNNNNNNNNNNNNNNNNNNNNNNNNNNNNNNNNNN
rnacentral:lncRNA from 1 species